rnacentral:other from 1 species
AGAGUCCUGAAAUGUACGUUGUGUUACCUGAAGUUUUGACCGAACAUUAUUUAUUCGGGAGUCUGGAGUUUCCUGAUUGCAUAAAUGCCUCACUCUUUGACGAGUUAGGGGACUUAUAAUUUCGGGAACAGGACACCCCCCUGCUGAAUGCGGGAUCAAAACGAGGGAUCAUUAGCGACGGCAUCAUUGGGACUCUU